GCCUCUGGACAUCGAGUCAACCUACAAAAAUCAUCGAUCUUCUUCGGGAAGGGUUGUCAAGAGGAGAAGAAAACGGAGCUCAAAACCACACUUGGUGUGCAGUCCGAAGCUUUGAGUGAGAGAUACCUGGGUCUCCCAACAUUAGUUGGAAGAUCAAAAUAUGGUACUUUCAAAUAUGUAACUGAAUCCUCAAAAGGAAAGGUUAGUGGAUGGAAGGGACAAGGUUUGUCAAAGGCUGUGAGAGAGGUUCUUGUCAAGUCGGGCCUCCAGGCGGUACCUACCUUCACCAUGAGCUGCUUUCGCCUUACAAAGAAGAUGUGCGGGAAUCUGACUUCUAUCUCUUCGAAAUUCUGGUGGAGCGCAGCGAAUGGGGAGAGGAAGGUGCACUGGAUCUCCUGGCAAAAAAUGUGUGCAGCAAAAAGAGACGGAGCCAUGGGGUUUAGAGACUAUGAAGUUUUCAACCAAGCUCUGCUCGCGAAACAGGCUUGGCGGAUUCUCCAGGCCCCUACUUCUCUAUGUGCGAGGGUUCUCAAAGCAAGGUAUUUUAAGGAGGACUCGAUCCUCACAGCGACCUGCUCUCAACGGCAUCAUAUACUUUCAGAAGUAUCCUGCAUGGUCGUGAUCUUCUUAGAGAAGGGCUGA
rnacentral:rRNA from 1 species